UACGUAGGGCGCAAGCGUUGUCCGGAAUUAUUGGGCGUAAAGAGCUCGUAGGCGGUCUGUCGCGUCCGUUGUGAAAACUCGAGGCUCAACCUCGGGCUUGCAGUGGAUACGGGCAGACUAGAGUGCGGUAGGGGAGACUGGAAUCCUGGUGUAGCGGUGGAAUGCGCAGAUAUCAGGAGGAACACCGAUGGCGAAGGCAGGUCUCUGGGCCGCAACUGACGCUGAGGAGCGAAAGCAUGGGGGAGCGAAACAGG
rnacentral:rRNA from 1 species